rnacentral:rRNA from 1 species
GGCGUGCGAUACAGGGUGACAGCCCCGUACACAAAAAUGCACAUAUUGUGAGCUCGAUGAGUAGGGCGGGACACGUGGUAUCCUGUCUGAAUAUGGGGGACCAUCCUCCAAGGCUAAAUACUCCUGACUGACCGAUAGUGAACCAGUACCGUGAGGGAAAGGCGAAAAGAACCCCGGCGAGGGGAGUGAAAAGAACCUGAAACCGUGUACGUACAAGCAGUGGGAGCCUCUUAAUGGGGUGACUGCGUACCUUUUGUAUAAUGGGUCAGCGACUUAUAUUCUGUAGCAAGGUUAACCGAAUAGGGGAGCCGAAGGGAAACCGAGUCUUAACUGGGCGUUAAGUUGCAGGGUAUAGACCCGAAACCCGGUGAUCUAGCCAUGGGCAGGUUGAAGGUUGGGUAACACUAACUGGAGGACCGAACCGACUAAUGUUGAAAAAUUAGCGGAUGACUUGUGGCUGGGGGUGAAAGGCCAAUCAAACCGGGAGAUAGCUGGUUCUCCCCGAAAGCUAUUUAGGUAGCGCCUCGUGAAUUCAUCUCCGGGG